rnacentral:tRNA from 2 species
GGAGGUGUAUCGAAGUGGUCAUAACGGUCUCGACUCGAAAUCGAGUGGCGAGUAAAAUCGCCCGUGGGUUCGAAUCCCACCGCCUCCGCCA